UCUUCCCUGGUGAUUACUUUAUUCCAGUUGUUUUUCAUAUUUUUGCAGCUAGUUCGGUCUUGAAACUGGAAAAUUUUGUGUGAAAAGAAAAGUUGUCUUGCUGCUCAGUGACACUGAUUUUUUUGGUAUCAUGAAUUGCUGGCACAAAUUUUUAUUAAGUUUAUGUUGAGGCCUGUGCCUCCAUCUGAAAAGUAUUAACCAAUUGGCAUUAGGUGGAGUCCUAAAAUCUUAUACAUUGAAAUAUAAGCCUUAGAAUACCUGAUGUGAGAAUUGAUAUACUCAACACAUCCCCUCACAUGUGCGCUCACAUGAAUUUAUAUUCUCCCUUAUAUUGUGAUGUGGAGCAUGUUUUACAAAAUUAGGCCUGAAACCUAACGAACUGCUUGUUCUGAUAUCAUGUUGCUUCUACAG